GUGGCAGACGGGUGAGUAACGCGUGGGAAUCUACCCAGUUCUACGGAACAACAGUUGGAAACAACUGCUAAUACCGUAUACGCCCUACGGGGGAAAGAUUUAUCGGAAUUGGAUGAGCCCGCGUAAGAUUAGCUAGUUGGUGGGGUAAUGGCCUACCAAGGCGACGAUCUUUAGCUGGUCUGAGAGGAUGAUCAGCCACACUGGGACUGAAACACGGCCCAGACUCCUACGGGAGGCAGCAGUGGGGAAUAUUGGACAAUGGGCGCAAGCCUGAUCCAGCCAUGCCGCGUGAGUGAUGAAGGCCUUAGGGUUGUAAAGCUCUUUCAGUAGGGAAGAUAAUGACGGUACCUACAGAAG
rnacentral:rRNA from 1 species